GGAAUUUGGAAUAGUCAUCCCGUGAAAAGCCUCGCAAAAAGUUUAAAGAUAUCAACUAUUCGAAAGGAAGAACACAUCUUAUCAUUACUGCGUGACAAAAAUCUGGAAUUUGGAAUAGUCAUCCCGUGAAAAGCCUUGCAAAAAGUUUAAAGAUAUCAACUAUUCGAAAGGAAGACACAUCUUAUCAUUACUGCGUGACAAAAAUCUGGAAUUUGGAAUAGUCAUCCCGUGAAAAGCCUCGCAAAAAGUUUAAAGAUAUCAACUAUUCGAAAGGAAGACACAUCUUAUCAUUACUGCGUGACAAAAAUCUGGGCUCGAUGGCUCCAGGAACAUUCUUUCCUCUCCUUUAGAGCUAGAGGAGGCUGUGGAAGUGGCGUACAUCGGGUAUCAACCUUUUACCAAAUAAAUGUGUAAAAAGGGCGAACAAAAAGGAUAACCAACACUAAAUUUGUCGGCGAUAAGGGCAACAGUAGAGAUGCUAGGGUAGCCUAACCCUGAAUUGAGCUCGAUUCGGAGUUCUGUACCUAUUCCGCAAAUACGGUAAGUCAAACUAACUCUAAAUCCUUUUGUUUAGCCUUUCCUAAUAAUCUCUCUUUCUUUUCAUAUGCGGAAUCUAAUUAAUUGGCUUGUCGUCCGUUUGUCUGUCCGAGUAUGUUGUAAGAUUGUCUAUUGGGAUCGAGAAUAAUACCCGUGCAUGCCAGUCUGGUCAUGCAUAAACACUGCGCCUCCCACGGUGGAUUGAACGGUGUUGAGUGGACUCCCGGUGUGGCCUCCAGUCGUUGUUGAAGUUGCUUUUGUCUUCGCGUUCUUUUGAGUUUUUAAAGUCUUUAUGUAUUGGUAUUAUUUUUUCAUAUUUUAAGUAUUACAGUUUUUCUUACAGCUUUGCUUUGGCUUUAAUUUUUCUUUAAAGCACUAUUUUGUAAGAGCUAUAUGUAUUAAUAUAGUUUUAUUUAGCUCAUUAUUUUGCUUAGUUAAAUAUAAUUAGUUGUGCCAAUAUUAGGUAAUAACAUUGAUUUUGAUUUAUUAAUAAAAAUUAUUUUACACCAACUACUUUUACUCUCUUUGUUGGGAUUUACGGGAGCCACACGUCCAAUCUUCUUUGCAGGUCUCAUCAAAAAAAAAGGGUCAUCUCCUCCUCGUUUUU